CCUACGGGAGGCAGCAGUGGGGAAUAUUGCACAAUGGGGGAAACCCUGAUGCAGCAACGCCGCGUGAGUGAGGAAGUAUUUCUGUAUGUAAAGCUCUAUCAGCAGGGAAUCGACUAGAAGCUACCUGAAAAAGAGGCCCCGUCGAACUACGUGCCAGCAACCGCGGUAAUAUGUAGGGGGCAAGCGUUAUCCGGAUUUACUGGGUGUAAAGGGAGCGUAGACGGAAAGGCAAGUUAGUAGUGAAAACCCAAGGCUCAACCAUGGGACUGCGUUUGAAACUGUCAAACUAGAGUACGGGAGAGAUAAGAGGAAGUCCUGGUGUAGCGGUGAAAUGCGUAGAUAUUAGGAGGAACACCAGUGGCGAAGGCGGCUUACUGGACCGAAACUGACGUUGAGGCUCGAAAGCGUGGGGAGCAAACAGGAUUAGAUACCCCGGUAGUC
rnacentral:rRNA from 1 species